GACUGGUUAACCACUAAUCAUUUAUAAAUGUAAUUUUUAAAAGAGUAUAUGAUAUGCACUAAUUAUAUAUAUAUAUUCACUAUAUAAAUAUGACAGAUUUAUUCAUGAAUAUGAAACUAAGUUGUAUGAGUUAUACACUCACUUAUAUAAUUUUUAUAGUUAAUAGAUCUUCCCCUUACUAAGUGAAAGGAGUAUUUGUUUCUCCAGGGGGUGGGAACUCUUUGUACCAUACUGGUACUUUAAUAGAUGGUCUAAUUGAUAUCAACCCAAUUAAUUUACCAGGUCUACCACGUGUUCUAAAUUGGUUAGACAUUAUACCCAUUUGAAUUGCCUUCACUCCUGAGUCUCUGAGUGUCAGGUUCAAGCUGCUGACCGACGAGGUUCCUUAUGCUUGCGAACCAGUUAGAUUCUAUACACAUAUGAAUCUUCCCCAUAUUCGAAUAUCUGAAUGUCAGACUCAAGCUGAUGAUAUAUGAGGUAUGUGCCAUUCCAUUGGAUUAAUCCCAAUCUCUGCCUAAUUGAACAAAAAGUGUCCUUUAAUUAAUAAAGGUUAUUAAACGUUUUUUAAUUAGGUAUGGUCCUCGCUGUAUCAAUCAAGUCCCAUUGAAAUAUUGAAACGUUGUUCAUACAUCUUUGAAUGACCUUUUAUGUGCUGACAAUAUGUUCUGAAAUGAAGAGAUUUUACCCCUGAUGAAGUCUUGGAACAAGACGAAACGCGUUGGGUUAUUUAUCUAUCUAUUAUCUGAUGUUACCUCCGAAU